ACGACCGUACCGCAAACCGACACUGGUGCGCGAGAUGAGUAUUCUAAGGCGCUUGAGAGAACUCAGGAGAAGGAACUCGGCAAAUUGACACCGUAACUUCGGAAGAAGGUGUGCCUUUAGUAGGUGAAGUCCCUCGCGGAUGGAGCCCAAUGAGGUUGCAAAAAAUCGGUGGCUGCGACUGUUUAUUAAAAACACAGCACUCUGCAAACACGAAAGUGGACGUAUAGGGUGUGACGCCUGCCCGGUGCUGUAAGAUUAAAUGAUGGGGUGCAAGCUCUUGAUUGAAGUCCCAGUAAACGGCGGCCGUAACUAUAACGGUCCUAAGGUAGCGAAAUUCCUUGUCGGGUAAGUUCCGACCUGCACGAAUGGCGUAACGAUGGCCACACUGUCUCCUCCUGAGACUCAGCGAAGUUGAAAUGUUUGUGAUGAUGCAAUCUCCCCGCGGAAAGACGGAAAGACCCCAUGAACCUUUACUGUAGCUUUGUAUUGGACUUUGAACAGAUCUGUGUAGGAUAGGUGGGAGGCUUUGAAGCAGGGUCGCUAGAUCUUGUGGAGCCAACGUUGAAAUACCACCCUGGUGUGUUUGAGGUUCUAACCUAGGCCCGUAAUCCGGGUUGGGGACAGUGCAUGGUAGGCAGUUUGACUGGGGCGGUCUCCUCCCAAAGUGUAACGGAGGAGUUCGAAGGUACGCUAGUUACGGUCGGACAUCGUGACGAUAGUGCAAUGGCAUAAGCGUGCUUAACUGCGAGACUGACAAGUCGAGCAGAUGCGAAAGCAGGACAUAGUGAUCCGGUGGUUCUGUAUGGAAGGGCCAUCGCUCAACGGAUAAAAGGUACUCUGGGGAUAACAGGCUGAUACCGCCCAAGAGUUCAUAUCGACGGCGGUGUUUGGCACCUCGAUGUCGGCUCAUCUCAUCCUGGGGCUGUAGCCGGUCCCAAGGGUAUGGCUGUUCGCCAUUUAAAGAGGUACGUGAGCUGGGUUUAAAACGUCGUGAGACAGUUUGGUCCCUAUCUUCCGUGGGCGCUGCAGAUUUGAGGAAGCCUGCUCCUAGUACGAGAGGACCGGAGUGGACGCACCUCUGGUGUAUCGGUUGUCACGCCAGUGGCAUUGCCGAGUAGCUAUGUGCGGAAGAGAUAACCGCUGAAAGCAUCUAAGCGGGAAACUCGUUUCAAGAUGAGAUCUGCCGGGGCCUUGAGCCCCCUGAAGAGUCGUUCAAGACCAGGACGUUGAUAGGUCGGGUGUGGAAGCGCAGUAAUGCGUUAAGCUAACCGAUACUAAUUGCUCGUGCGGCUUGACCAG
rnacentral:rRNA from 1 species